rnacentral:lncRNA from 1 species
AACAAUUUAUAUUUUAUUUUGUACAUAUAAUUCAUUAAUUUGUACAAUUCAAGUAAGAAUAUAUAAUGUAUUAGAUAUGGAUUAUAUAUUUAAGUAGAACCAUGACGUAUUAUCACCAGGCAUAUCCUACCUUCAACCAUUAAAGUCUGAUGUUUGACUUCAAAAACAUUAUACAUAUCUCCUUCUGUUGGUACAUUGUAUUAAUAUCUAUAACAAGAGUGCACACGCUGAAAUGUCUCGCCUUCUAUACUAAUCAUUGAUAUUAUGUUGAUAGUCCUAAGUAUAAAGCUUUAUUACAACUGUCUCAUAAACUUAACAUUAACCAAGAUAACUAAACAAAGACCAAUGAACCAUGAAAAUGAGGUCAAGGUCAGAUGAACCAUGCCAGGCAGACAUGUACAGCUAACAAUGCUUAUAUACAACAUAUAUAGUUGACCUAUUACUUAUAGUUUAAGAAAAAUAGACCAAAACACAAAAACUUAACACUGUGCAAUGAACCAUGAAAAUGAGGUCAGGGUCAAAAGAAACCUG